UACGGAGGGUGCGAGCGUUGUUCGGAAUCACUGGGCGUAAAGCGCGUGUAGGCGGCUUCUUAAGUCCGAUGUGAAAGCCCGGGGCUCACCCCCGGAAGUGCAUUGGAUACUGGGAAGCUGGAGUACCGGAGAGGAGGGUGGAAUUCCUGGUGUAGCGGUGAAAUGCGCAGAUAUCAGGAGGAACACCGGUGGCGAAGGCGGGUCUCUGGGCCGAUACUGACGCUGAGGAGCGAAAGCGUGGGGAGCGAACAGG
rnacentral:rRNA from 1 species